UGUGCUCGAUGAAUUAGGUUUCGAUCUACUGUUUCGCCUUCGGAGAAACCCCUGCGUUCUCCUGUAAAUCACGCGAGACUGAGAGGUACGAUGGGAGGAGCGACCAGGGUAUAAGAAGGGAACCACGAGCGAGAGAGAAGAGGACUGCGGGGAGACUGUGAGAAGGAGAUAUGGCGAGGGGUACUGCGAGAGGAGCAGAGAGAAGGCCAGGGAAGUAAGAAAGACAGGGAAAAGGAAAACAUGUAAAAGUAGGAAAAGGAUAAAGGAAAAAUAAAGAAGCAAACGCUAGCGUCAAGUCGUCUCAAGCCCCUCAUUUCAAUCCUCAGCCCUUCUCUUUUCGUGCCUCCGAAUCCCGUGGGUCGGGACAGGUGGCGCCCAGCGUGGGGCACGAAAAAGAACGAAGGAACCGCUGAAGGACCAGCUGUGGUGAGCUGGCAAGUAAAGUAAGGAAAGGUAGCUGGGAUCAUGGGCAAUUCAAUGUCCAAGGGACAGUUAGUUAUUUCCCUGGAAGCUCUCCUAAAAGAGUUUGGGGUUCCUCUCAGUAGAAAAUUCUUAAAGGAUUUGUAGAGACCCUUAGUAUCACUAGUAAAUGGUUUCUGAAGCAGGAUCAGGUCGAUAGUGACAAUUGGAAUAAGGUGAAAGGAGAUAUUGUCUUGCAUCAGCAAUUAUAUGGCCUUGAAUCUCUUCCUGGCACUACUUUGACAGUCUGGAGAGUGGUGGGAGAUGCUCUUAAUGCUGGUGGCACUGCUGCCACUCAGCCACUGAGGCCGUCAGGACAGCGAGACAACGGAGGAAGAAGAUAGAAGUUGCAUUAAGAGUUCUACAUCGCAGCUGGAUGGUCAGCCUGGAAGGCAAUAGGAGAUAGAGGAGGAGCCGACAUUCAAUUAACAAAGGUCAUUCAAGGGUCAACAGAACCUUAUGCGGAGUUCCUAGCAAGAUUGAUGACUGCAGCUGGCAGAAUACUAGGUACCCAGGGGCGGUCAGCUGCUGAUCGGCACUGGUCGCCAGACCCUUGGCAGGUCACGAUGCUGCAAGCGAGAUGGAAGGAUCAGGUCAAUAAUGAGUGGCAACCACCCGCGCCAGUAUUAAUACAGCUGCCAGGCAGCAUUUGUCUUUUCCCACAGGAUGCAGAAGCACCCCGAUGGGUUCCUGCUCGAUUGGUUCGGUUUGUCAAUAUACCUGACCCUGCUAACCUUGAUGACACAAGCGUCCCAGAUGUUAGUACGAUGGGCAAUUGUGCAUCAGCUGCCUUUUUUGCUCCUCAUUGAUCGUCAUGAUUCCACUUUUCCGCAAGUAUUUGCCAUUAAUCUUAAUAUUGGUCUAGCUUCCAAGCCAUUGGAUAGUGCCCUGUUGGGCCAGGGUGAGGUGAAAUUAUUUAAUGGCAUUUAUUCUGCAAACAUUAGUUCUACCAUUGAAUAAUCUGUUAGUAUUCAGAAUAAUAGAUUAUAGAGUAUGUCUACUGCUGUCUGUCUGUCCCCUCCUUUCUUUUUUGUCCUCCCCAAUAAUGCAGGAAAUGCCACUGUGUUGAACUGUUCAGCGGAGACCUGCGCCCUCUCUGCCUGCUGGGCCCGGAGUGUGGAGAGGGCGGUGAUCAUUCGUCUACCUUCUAUUUUAGUCAUGCCCGUGGAUGUUUCUGCACACCUUUCCCCUGUUCUACCUAGGAGGAGACGUGAUUUUAGCAUCACUGCAGCUAUUGUUGCCAUUUCAAUAGCGGUGGCUGCGGCUACUGCCGCCGUUGCUGUCACUCAAGCUGCUGUAAAUACGGACACUAUGGACAAUUUAGCUGCCAGUGUUGCUUCUGCGUUGUCAACACAGUAAUAUAUGAAUGGACAUUUGCAGAAUGGACUUUUGUGCUUGGUCAGCGGACACCUCUAAUGUAAAAAGGGAUAGACACACUUUUGUUAAUUGCUCACAUACCUUGUAACCCUCUGUACAGUUUUAUUUGUGUUACCCCUGUUACGGGUGAGGGUCUCAUUGCCUGGCUUAAAGGACUCCUCCCAGAGUUGCAAGCUUGGGGCAGGGUGGUAGCCCUAGCUCUUGGCUGUUUGUGCCUUCAGUGUAUGGUUUCUCCGUCGGCUACGGAGGCAAAACAAAGAGCUAUUGUGCUAUGGCGGUCAGGCAAGUACUUGGCGCCAUGGUACUUGACCAGGACUCCCCAGUGGCAUCCGGAUGGGUCAACUUAGCCCUAGAGAACCUGAAAGCCAAAGAUGGGUAAGAGCGUAGCCCGUCCAGACCAACCUAAGACAGCGGUCCGGACCAAGUGUGCCGGAUUAGCGAUGACGGGUAAGGCUGGAUAUGGGAUGCGCCAACUUAAGACAGGCCAGGUGUCUCAUUUAAAAGAAAAAAGGGGGAGAUGUUCGGAGCCACCUGCAGCAUGCGCCGUGUUGCACAUGUGCUCGAUGAAUUAGGUUUCGAUCUACUGUUUCGCCUUCGGAGAAACCCCUGUGUUCUCCUGUAAAUCACGCGAGACUGAGAGGUACGAUGGGAGGAGCGACCAGGGUAUAAGAAGGGAACCACGAGAGAGAGAGAGAGACUGCGAGGAGACUGUGAGAAGGAGAUAUGGCGAGGGGUACUGCGAGAGGAGCAGAGAGAAGGCCAGGGAAGUAAGAAAGACAGGGAAAAGGAAAACAUGUAAAAGUAGGAAAAGGAUAAAGGAAAAAUAAAGAAGCAAACGCUAGCGUCAAGUUGUCAAGCCCCUCAUUUCAAUCCUCAGCCCUUCUCUUUUCGUGCCUCCAAAUCCCGCGGGUCGGGACACAACACCUCAUCUCUAACUGGCUUCUUUAUAGUAAAUUAAACAAAGUUAAUUAUCAGUGAACAGCUUUCAUGCCAACCAUUGACUACUUCUGGGAGCUCCAUGGAGCCCCAUCUCCCUGACAGCCCCCCUCCACUGGGAUGGGGAUUUGGAGCACUUCAUUGCCUCUGAGAUGGCUCAGUCUCUGACAGAAACCGCAUCCAUCAUUCAUUCAGCUACCUCCUGGACUGGGAAGGUAAAUCAGAGAACACAGGUGUGUAGGGUAAAUGGUUAUCAGGCUUUUCUGCCCUCCCACCAUUAGGAUUGCCCUGCCUGAUAGGGCACCUGCAGUUGUUACAUUGUUGUGUUGUUUACUUUUGUGGGCACUGGGAGGAGUAUUGGAGAUAGUCACUAGGAGAAGCAGAAGCAGGAGGAGAGGCAGGAGAGAGAAGGGGAGAAAAAAGCCAGAGAAGCCCAGAGUGAAGACUUGCUGUGGGCUUGGAGGCCUGCCCGUCUCCUGGCCCCCCGGCACCCUUGCCCGCCGUGUGCCUGUUUGCCACACUACAUGUAAAGCUCAAUAAAAGCCUGAGAAAGCCACCAAGGGCUCCAGGACUCUC